AUUGAACGCUGGCGGCAGGCCUAACACAUGCAAGUCGAGCGGAUGAAGGGAGCUUGCUCCUGGAUUCAGCGGCGGACGGGUGAGUAAUGCCUAGGAAUCUGCCUGGUAGUGGGGGAUAACGUCCGGAAACGGGCGCUAAUACCGCAUACGUCCUGAGGGAGAAAGUGGGGGAUCUUCGGACCUCACGCUAUCAGAUGAGCCCAGGUCGGAUUAGCUAGUUGGUGGGGUAAAGGCCUACCAAGGCGACGAUCCGUAACUGGUCUGAGAGGAUGAUCAGUCACACUGGAACUGAGACACGGUCCAGACUCCUACGGGAGGCAGCAGUGGGGAAUAUUGGACAAUGGGCGAAAGCCUGAUCCAGCCAUGCCGCGUGUGUGAAGAAGGUCUUCGGAUUCUAAAGCACUUUAAGUUGGGAGGAAGGGCAGUAAGUUAAUACCUUGCUGUUUUGACGUUACCAACAGAAUAAGCACCGGCUAACUUCGUG
rnacentral:rRNA from 1 species